rnacentral:misc_RNA from 1 species
AGCAGCCGCGGUAAUUCCAGCUCCAAUAGCGUAUAUUAAAGUUGUUGCAGUUAAAAAGCUCGUAGUUGAAUUUCGGGAUCAGUUGGUCGGUCGUGCCUCGGUACGUACUGGUCAAAUUGAUUCCUACCUUCUGACGAACCACGAUGUCAUUAAUUUGGUGUCGCGGGAAAUCAGGACUGUUACUUUGAAAAAUUAGAGUGUUUAAAGCAGGCUCGCGCUUGAAUACAUUAGCAUGGAAUAAUGAAAUAGGACGUUUGAUUCUAUUUUGUUGGUUUCUAGGAUCGACGUAAUGAUUAAUAGGGAUAGUUGGGGGCAUUAGUAUUCAAUUGUCAGAGGUGAAAUUCUUGGAUUUAUUGAAGACUAACUACUGCGAAAGCAUUUGCCAAGGAUGUUUUCAUUAAUCAAGAACGAAAGUUAGGGGAUCGAAGACGAUCAGAUACCGUCGUAGUCUUAACCAUAAACUAUGCCGACUAGGGAUCGGAUGAUGUUAAUUUUUUAAUGACUCAUUCGGCGCCUUACG